GUUUCUUCAAAAUGUGUGUGUCAUACUUCUUUUGGGAGGGGGUUGUUUUCUUCUUUUAUGAAACUCCUACUGGAGCUCAAUUUGUAAUUUAGAAACAUUUAAUUUUGUUAAUCCUGUCUGGGACAUUUAGGUAACAUCUAAAGCAUUAUUGCUUUAGAAUGUUCAAAUAAAAUUUCCUGACCAAAUUGUUUUGUGACAGUAGAUGUGUUUAUAAUUUGAAGAUACCUGCUCAGAAGGCCAUAUUAUAGAAUGUCAUUUUUAAAAAAUAAAAUAUAAAGCAUACUUUCGAAAUACAAAGGACACUCAUUACAACCCCCAAACUCAGAUCCAGGUAUGAUAGUUUAUGCCUAUAAUCCCAGCACCAGGGAAGCUAAGGUGGAAGGUUGUUUGAGUUUGGAACUGGGCUAGAGAGUGAGUUAUUGCUCACUCUGAGUUCUGCGCUACUCUGGGGGACUCUGUUUCAAGGGGAAAAAAAGAACAGAGUCUGACUGCUUGGCUACGUACAGUAUAAGUAUUUCCUUUCUGUGACAUUGUGACAUACAAUUUAAACACUCAUUGGGCUGCUGUGCUGUGUAAAGAAAGAGGGACUGCAGUGUAGCUCCUUUAGUGGUGAGACAUGAAGGCUGUGGCAAUCUCAAGAAAUCAUUUUAAUUUGUACAUAUAUUUUCAGGUUCUGCCCACACUGUGAGGUUUUUCUAGAAUCACUGAGUUUCUGAUUUAGUAGUUUGUUCUGUAGAUCCCCAAAGCUGUGCUGUGUAUUGGUGGUUUUAGAAAGACUCAGCUCAUGAGCUGUGUUAAACCUUAACAUGAGACUCAUAUAUUCAGGGUUACAUGAGUUACUUUUAUAAAUCGAUGACCCCCCACCCCCACCCUCACGUCUUACUCUGAGGUGUGUGACAUCUUUAGUGUGUGAGAUUUGGAUUCCUAACCUUAAGUGAGCUGUAAACAAUGUGAAUGGAGCUCUGGCCAGUCACCUUUAACCCAGCAGCUUGGGUUCAGUGUCACCUACGGAUUAUUUCUCUUUCUCGCCUGCCCUUAGGAUCUUAAGCUAAAGGGCACUGUUUAUUUCAUGAAACCUUUAAACAUGUCAAAAUGUUUAGUAUAAGAACACUUAGUCUACAUGCUGGGGUGCCUAGCUUACACAGAGCCUGGGUUCAGUCCUUCACACUGUAUAAACUGGGCGAGACAGAGCAUGUUUGCAGUCCUAGCAUUCAGCAGGUAGAGACAGGAAGAUGAGAAGUGCAAAGUAGUCUCGGCUAGGUAGUGUCAGGACUAUCCUGUGCUCUAUGACAUUCUAUCUCUAAAAAUGAAGCAACACUUUUUCUGUUUAAUGAGUAUUAUGAGUUGGACAGCAAAUUUUUGUCUUAAUAAAAUGUUUUUCGUAAUCAUGCAGGUCAAGUGUAGGGUUGUCAGAGAACAUGGCGCUCUUGGGUGCACCUGUUUGUUCUGCUAGGUUUAGGUUGAGCUCUGGAGUUGUUUGAAGUCUGCGAUGAAAAAUAAUUUUUAAAAGUAUUAAGAACACUAAAAUGGAUUAGAAUUAUCUUAAAAGAUCCUUUAUAAAAUGACUUGUAUUGAUUGGUUUAUAACUUCACACAGGGGUGACAUAAAUGUAUAUCUUGAAAAAGAUAUAGGUCACAGGUGGCUUAACUCUCCCUAGUUCUCAGUAGAAUAGUUCAAACAAUAUUACUUAUGUUAAUUAGAAGGGGCUUUUGUACUCCAUUAAUGCUGUAUUUAGUUUACUAAUAGCUGCUCAGUUUGUCAGCUGAUAGUCUGAAUACUAUCAAAAACUAAGAACAUAGUUGAAGCAUGCUUCCUGAAAAUUAACUACAUUAGAAACUGACAUCCUUAUACUGGUCUCCCAAGUACAAAAGUAGGAAGAAGCCGUUAGGAGCUGGCUAGAGAGACUCUCGAGUGUGCUGGUGUGCUGUGUAGGCUCCCGGGCCACAGUGGCUGUGGAGAAGCCCAGGCCCUUAGAAGAAUCACUGUAUUUGCCACCUGUACCUCACGGCUGCUAUGCUUGCGUGUUUCCACUGACGAUGGGGCCUCUUUCUAAAGGCAGUUGCUGCAAAUUCCAGUUCUUCCAAAAGUCACUUGAUUUAAGGGUUAUCCACAAGUUGUGCUUAUUUUGAUAUAGCAUUUGUUUCCUAAAUGUUUACUAAUCACUUUAUGCCAAAUGUCUUGCAGAUGUUAUUUUUAAACUUAACUGAAUUUUUACAAAUAUAAAAAGGAAAAAGUAUAUUAGUGUAAUUUGUUUAGGAAUAGCUACAUACCGAAGGGCUUCUAUACAUGAAUUCUAGGGGCAAAAGCCUUUUGUAGAAACCUGCACACUGCAUUCCAUCUGGGUUUUAAGUUCAGAUGUGAACAUUUUUUAGUGCUUCUUUUUCUUUUACUUAAUGAACAUGUGAUAUGAGUAGUGAUGUGCAAAAGCACAGACGUUCAUGUUUUCUAUCAUGUAAAAUCCUGUAGUUAAGCUGUAUAUUAGCAGUGAAGGUGUUAGAGAGAUGAGAUGAUGGUUUGAAAGUGUGUUGAAGACUAGACUAGAUUUGCAGAAAGAGUAGGACAGAAGAGCGGCGCACACCUGCAGAUGUUCUGCAAGCCUUGCGGUCCAGAUGAGCAUGCCGGAAGGUUUCCUCAUGUAGCGUUCCCACUGGAGCUGUGUGCGCGGUGUGCAAAGGCGAAAAGAUAUGUCAUAGUUGCCAUAAAAGAGGCUGAUUGUGAAAUUCUGGUGGACUAGGCAAGGUACAGUUUAUGGUUAUCCCCAUCAUCAGCUUAGGUCACUUGAACAUGUGUAAGUGGUAUAAGUAGGAGCUAAAUGCCAGGAGGAAAAAGGUUCUCGAAGAACAGCAGAGUUUUCCUGUAAAACCAGUCUCAUUUGGGCUUCUCAUCUGUGCUCACCUUGAACCUACAAACCUCCAUGGACAGUCAGCAGGUGGGAAGACAUGGUGUUUGCCCAUAUCACUUCCAUUUUGUAUACACUCUGGAUUUGUGUAGGCUGUAUUCCAGUUGGCUUUUUAGUAAUAGAAAUCCCUCAUAUGAUGUAUCAGAUACAAUUGAGGUUCUAAUCUAGUCUGUUAAUUUAUCUGAAAUUGGAUUUUUUUUUAAAAAAGUAAUAAAAAAUUAAAUAC
rnacentral:lncRNA from 1 species